CAACUUGAGAGUUUGAUCCUGGCUCAGAGCGAACGCUGGCGGCAGGCUUAACACAUGCAAGUCGAGCGGGCGUAGCAAUACGUCAGCGGCAGACGGGUGAGUAACGCGUGGGAACAUACCUUUUGGUUCGGAACAACACAGGGAAACUUGUGCUAAUACCGGAUAAGCCCUUACGGGGAAAGAUUUAUCGCCGAAAGAUCGGCCCGCGUCUGAUUAGCUAGUUGGUGAGGUAACGGCUCACCAAGGCGACGAUCAGUAGCUGGUC
rnacentral:rRNA from 1 species